CCAAUGGCAGAAAUAGUGCAAUAGAAUUAGAAUCUAAAUAACCCUUC
rnacentral:tRNA from 1 species